UGCACAUAUACAGAGACCACAGCAGGACA
rnacentral:piRNA from 1 species